rnacentral:rRNA from 1 species
CCGCCUGCCCUGUGACACUGUUUAACGGCCGCGGUAUCAUGACCGUGCGAAGGUAGCGUAAUCACUUGUCUUUUAAUUGAAGACCUGUAUGAAAGGCAUCACGAGAGUUUACCUGUCUCUAUUUUCUAAUCAAUGAAAUUGAUCUCCCCGUGCAGAAGCGGGGAUAACACCAUAAGACGAGAAGACCCUAUGGAGCUUUAAACACUUAAGUUAUUAUUAAACCUAAUAAUUAAUCUAAAGACUUAACCUACCAUAAUAAUAGCCUAACUUAAUGUUUUCGGUUGGGGCGACCAAGGAGUAAAAUAAAACCUCCUUAUCGACUGAGUAUUUUUACUUAAAAAUUAGAACGACAGUUCUGAUUAAUAGAAUAUCUAACGAACAAUGACCCAGGACUAAACCUGAUCAAUGAACCAAGUUACCCUAGGGAUAACAGCGCAAUCCUUUCUAAGAGUCCAUAUCGCCGAAAGGGUUUACGACCUCGAUGUUGGAUCAGGACAUCCUAAUGGUGCAACCGCUAUUAAGGGUUCGUUUGUUCAACGAUUAACAGUCCUACGUGAUCUGAGUUC